UCCAGCUUAUCGCUGGCGGUCUCCUGCGAGUUCCCAACUGAAUGAUGGCAACACAGGACAAGGGUUGCGCUCGUUGCGGGACUUAACCCAACAUCUCACGACACGAGCUGACGACAGCCAUGCAGCACCUGUGCACGGACUCCGAAGAGGGGCCGAUGUUUCCACCGGCUUUCCCGUGCAUGUCAAGCCCAGGUAAGGUUCUUCGGGUCGCAUCGAAUUAAGCCGCAUGCUCCGCCGCUUGUGCGGGGACCCGUCAAUUCCUUUGAGUUUCAACCUUGCGGUCGUACUCCCCAGGCGGGGUACUUCCUGCGUUAGCGCCGGCACCCAGAGGGUCGCUCCCCCAGGCACCUAGUACCCAUCGUUUACGGCGUGGACUAC
rnacentral:misc_RNA from 1 species